rnacentral:lncRNA from 1 species
UUCCAGACUGAAAAUCAAACAACUGAAAACAUGAGCCAAAUCUAUUAGCACUGAACUCCUCCAACAGCACUGAUGUCACAGGCCCCUGGAAGAAUCCACGUUGUUGACAUUACUCUGGUCAUUUAGUUGCCAUGUAGCCAAGCAAAGAGAUGGGGUUUGACCUUGUUGUCCAGGCUGGUUUCAAACUCCUGAGUUCGAGCAAUCUACCCACCCUUCAAAGUGUUGGGAUCACAGGUGACUCUUAGAAUCAUCUAGUCAAAAUGGAAUUGUGACUAUAUUUUACCAUUACAAUAUAGAUGGAGAUUUUCAUCUAUUAAUAAAAGAUGUUCUCUAUUCACAAAUGGAAAUGGAGCAACAGUACACAAUUUCUGCCCCAGAAUUCAUGGCUGGUGCAGGUAAAAAGCUCUUUACAGUUUGCUAGUCAAUCCAUUUGCUUUACCUAAAAAGUUCAUUUAUAUAGUUUUAAAUGGUUUGCAGAAGUCUUUUGAACAGUACUCUUGAAGUUUCAUGUCUUUUCCUCAAAACUUGACAGUCUUGGGAGUGACAAAAAGGGAGAAAAUAUACAAACAUAUGUGAUAUAUUCAUAGCUGGACUUAAACAAUGAUAAAAGAAAAUUUUCAUGUUACAGCCUACUUCCAGUAGAAUUUUACAAUCCUACUAUCUAGUAGGAAUCAUUUCCUCUGAGUGGUGUUCUCACUCUGAGCAAAUCAUUUCUUAAGUAGCAAAUUCUCCUCACAAUUUGAUGUAUAUCAGUUUAACCGAAAGACUUUUCAGAAACCUAAUAUGUAGCAAAGCUCACAAGGUCUUUAGAACAUGACACAUCAAAAAAGAUGAAGGUAGAAAUAACAAAAAUGUGCCCUUAGGACUUAAGUUGGAUGGGAUCCCCUUUCUCUGGCAUGGAGUCUAGGUAUCUGGAGAGUACCUUUUUUUUUUUUUUUUUUAAGUGCUC